rnacentral:rRNA from 1 species
GACGAACCGUCCAAACGUUAUUCGGAAUUACUGGGCUUAAAGGGUGCGUAGGCGGCGCGGAAAGUAGGGUGUGAAAUCCCUCGGCUCAACCGAGGAACUGCGCCCUAAACUACCGUGCUUGAGGGAGAUAGAGGUAAGCGGAACUUAGGGUGGAGCGGUGAAAUGCUUAGAUAUCGUCAAGAACACCGAUAGUGUAGACAGUUUACUAGGCUAUAACUGACGCUGAGGCACGAAAGUGUGGGGAUCAAACAGG